rnacentral:rRNA from 1 species
GAUGAACGCUGGCGGUAUGCUUUACACAUGCAAGUCGUACGAGAGUUUUGAACUCAAGUGGCGGACGGGUGAGUAACACGUAAGAAUUUGCCUUUAGGAGGGGGACAACAACUGGAAACGGUUGCUAAUACCCCAUAUGCUUUCGAGUGAAACGGUUUUUCCGCCUAAAGAGAAGCUUGCGGCUGAUUAGCUUGUUGGUAAGGUAAUGGCUUACCAAGGCGACGAUCAGUAUCUGGUUUGAGAGGACGAUCAGACACACUGGAACUGAGACACGGUCCAGACUCCUACGGGAGGCAGCAGUGGGGAAUUUUCCGCAAUGGGCGAAAGCCUGACGGAGCAAUACCGCGUGAGGGAUGAAUGCCUAUGGGUUGUAAACCUCUUUUUUCAGGGAGGAAUCAAUGACGUUACCUGAAGAAUAAGCAUCGGCUAACUCCGUGCCAGCGGCCGCGGUAAGACGGAGGAUGCAAGUGUUAUCCGGAAUCACUGGGCGUAAAGCGUCUGUAGGUGGUUUGAUAAGUCAACUGUUAAAUCUUGAGGCUCAACCUCAAAACCGCAGUCGAAACUAUUAGGC